GGGAAGGUAGCUCAGCGGUAGAGUGCAUGCCUUGCAAGCAUGAGGCCCCCCUGGGUUCGAUUCCUCAGCACCA
rfam:Dipodomys ordii contig_11600, whole genome shotgun sequence.